rnacentral:rRNA from 1 species
GACGAACGCUGGCGGCGUGCUUAACACAUGCAAGUCGAACGGAAAGGCCUGCUUUCCCUUGUGGAUUGCGGGUACUCGAGUGGCGAACGGGUGAGUAACACGUGAGUGAUCUGCCCCCAACUUGGGUAUAAGCCUGGGAAACUGGGUCUAAUUCCCGAUAGGACUGCAGGGUGGUGCCUGUGGUGGAAAACGAUGUUCUAGUGGUUGGGGAUGAGCUCGCGGCCUAUCAGCUUGUUGGUGGGGUAAUGGCCUACCAAGGCGGCGACGGGUAGCCGGCCUGAGAGGGUGGACGGCCACAUUGGGACUGAGAUACGGCCCAGACUCCUACGGGAGGCAGCAGUGGGGAAUAUUGCACAAUGGGCGGAAGCCUGAUGCAGCGACGCCGCGUGGGGGAUGACGGCCUUCGGGUUGUAAACUCCUUUCGACCGCGAGGAAGCCACCUGGUUGGAAGGGUGGUGACGGUAGUGGUAGAAGAAGCACCGGCUAACUACGUG